rnacentral:rRNA from 1 species
AUGCACGCUGACAGAAUGCUUAACACAUGCAAGUCUUUGGUGAAGCUGUGCUUGCACAGCCUAGCCAAGGCGGACGGGUGAGUAACGCGUAAGGAACUUGCCCUGCAGUCAGGGAUAACAGACGGAAACGACUGAUAAGACCUGGUAAAGUCAGGCGGACUCAUGUCCAGCCUGAUGAAAAGAGAUGCUGCAGGAGAGCCUUGCGUCCUAUUAGCUUGUUGGUGGGGUAACGGCCCACCAAGGCAAUGAUAGGUAGCCGGCCUGAGAGGGUGGACGGCCACAAGGGGACUGAGAUACGGCCCUUACUCCUACGGGAGGCAGCAGUGGGGAAUAUUGGACAAUGGGGGCAACCCUGAUCCAGCAAUUCUGUGUGCACGAUGAAGGUUUUCGGAUUGUAAAGUGCUUUCAGCAGGGAAGAAAAAAAUGACGGUACCUGCAGAAGAAGCGACGGCUAAAUACGUG